ACGUCGGAGCCGCCGAACCUGCCUCGCAGGACCGGGGACCCAGCACCGGCGCACAGCGCCCAGGGGUGAAUCCGGUGUUCGCACCGGUAGGGCGAUCUUCCCCGCCCGAACCCGUCAGCUAACCCGGUAGGCGGUCAAGGGAGAGAGG
rnacentral:sRNA from 2 species